rnacentral:rRNA from 1 species
AGUGAACGCUGGCGGUAGGCCUAACACAUGCAAGUCGAACGGCAGCACAGUAAGAGCUUGCUCUUACGGGUGGCGAGUGGCGGACGGGUGAGGAAUACAUCGGAAUCUACUUUUUCGUGGGGGAUAACGUAGGGAAACUUACGCUAAUACCGCAUACGACCUACGGGUGAAAGCAGGGGAUCUUCGGACCUUGCGCGAUUGAAUGAGCCGAUGUCGGAUUAGCUAGUUGGCGGGGUAAAGGCCCACCAAGGCGACGAUCCGUAGCUGGUCUGAGAGGAUGAUCAGCCACACUGGAACUGAGAAACGGUCCAGACUCCUACGGGAGGCAGCAGUGGGGAAUAUUGGACAAUGGGCGCAAGCCUGAUCCAGACAUACCGCGUGGGUGAAGAAGGCCUUCGGGUUGUAAAGCCCUUUUGUUGGGAAAGAAAAGCAGCAGGUUAAUACCCCGCUGUUCUGACGGUACCAAAAGAAUAAGCACCGGCUAACUUCGUG